GACAGAGGGUGCAAACGUUGUUCGGAAUUAUUGGGCGUAAAGGGCGCGUAGGCGGUGCGGUAAGUCACCUGUGAAAUCUCCUGGCUCAACUGGGAGCUUGCAGGCGAAACUGCCGUGCUGGAGUGUGGGAGAGGUGCGUGGAAUUCCUGGUGUAGCGGUGAAAUGCGUAGAUAUCAGGAGGAACACCUGUGGCGAAAGCGGCGCACUGGACCACAACUGACGCUGAGGCGCGAAAGCUAGGGGAGCAAACAGG
rnacentral:rRNA from 1 species